rnacentral:tRNA from 1 species
GGCGAAAUAGCGAGAUAGCGUUAGACUAUAGAUCGAAAGGUUCCUGGUUCGAUCCCGGGAUUCGGGA